ensembl:ncRNA ZK381.39 ncRNA
CCUUUCAAGUUGCUGCAACUAUUCUCAUGCCGUACAAAAAUCUAACACCUAAGCAGCUGGCUUCCCCCAUCGAGGUCAACAACCUCUUCUUCUCAUUCUUCAGAACUUUUUUGCCGCACUCUCGUAAGUGGGACUAUCCGAGAGCAGACGGCCCUCGCCGUUGUUAAUGAGCAUGACCUUUCUCAAAUUUCCGUCAUUGUUUAUUCUCAAGUGUAAGACAGUGCCUACACGUUGGGAAUGCAAAGGCAAAAAGCCGCCCGACAAAAAAGAAGCCGUGAAGAUGAUGAUGAGGAGCAUCCCAGCAUAAGCAUAGAUGAUGGUGCGCGGAAAGAGAGCGCUCGCGCAUAAAGAUUUAUGAGUUUUGGGGAUGGUGCGGAAAGACGAAAAAGAAAAUGUUGUUUAUGGUUUCAUACGCCACAGUUUGGCAA